rnacentral:misc_RNA from 1 species
AAGUCGUAACAAGGUCUCCGUAGGUGAACCUGCGGAGGGAUCAUUAACGAGUUAGGGUCUCACCGGCCCGACCUCCCAACCCUUUGUCUACCUGACCAUCGUUGCUUCGGCGAGCCCGUCCUCACGGACCGCCGGGGGGCUCUUCGCCCUCUGGCCCGCGCUCGUCGACAGCCAAAUUUUUUAAAAUCUUAACUAAACGUGCCUCAAUCUAAGUACUAUUUGUUAAAUAAAAGCAAAACUUUCAACAACGGAUCUCUUGGUUCUG